ensembl:lncRNA
GGAUGAUAUUGUGGAUCCCCUUAGUGAAUUUUGCUUUUGCUGGCUGACGUGGGCUCAGUACUAUUUCCCUGCCUGGAAGGUCCUGGUCAUAUAAGGGAAGGAAAUGCAGACAGUCACAAACUUCAUCCUCCUGGAAUGAAAGAAAAACAUGCCUCCCUAGGAACACCUGUUACUGGUUUAAAUGUCUGUUUACGCUUGCCCUUAAAACAUGCUGAAACCCAAAGAAGGGUGGAGUUUGAGAAGGAAAAGACAGCUGAGAAAGAUCUGUCCUGCACAGGAGUUCCUCAACUGCUGUCUCUGCUUUUCAAUCACACUAUACUCUCUGGGUUCCAAACACAGGUCCACUUAGGAAAAUCAUACUCAGUGAAGAUAUUGUUUCCCCCUUCCAAAGUCGGAUCAAAGCCAGUGAAGAAAUUUCACUGUGAUAUGGAACAGCAAGAUGGGAGAAACCAAACAAGUAGAUUGAUUAUGAUUAUGAUUAUGAUUAACUGAGCUCUAAAAUAUUUGAGUGAAGAAGUAAGAGGUAGAAAUGCUACAAGGAGUACAUUUUUCAGAACAUUCUAUGGCUGGACUGUCUUUUGAAAACCCUCACUGAAGUCAAUAGGAACUGAACGCACAUAUCAGAAGUCAAACUUCGUGUCUUUAUGAUUUUUAGAGCAUUUAAAAAAGCCUCUGGAGGAACACUCUUAUGAAAUAAAUUCUGAGGAUGCAAUUCUAAUCUUUCUGGAUUUGGGGACUGAUGCUGAAGAACUAAUAAUUACAAUUGGUGAAGGAAAAGCUCAUUUUCUCUGCAAGAGACCACAGGAAACUUUAGACACUACCAGAUAGUGCGAAGUGCAAACUUACUACACAGAAUAAGACUUGAACAUUUCUUAAAACACAUUGAUGAAAAGUCUAAAUUUACUAUGCCCCAAUAUUGGCAUAGGUCUCCCUUCCCAUGAGAGGAAACUCUAAAAUCUUAAGUGUGUUGCUAUUCAUCUAUUUACCUUACAGCAAAAAGAUGACACUGCUAAGAUUUGCGUAUCUUACAUAAUUCCUGGAAUUUCUUGUUGGAAUUGAAACUGCAAAGACAAGGAAAAGAAUCUGGUUAAUAUUUAUUUUCUACAACUUGACAAAAGCAUGGGCAGGAACAGAAGAAUAAUAAAUGUCUAUAGAAAACAGUGCAGCUUGGUGCAGAGAACCUGGAAACAUAUGUACCCAGUUAGAUGAAUUUGCUUUGUGCUGCACCUGAGCUAAUGACCCCUACUGAGAGGUUCAUAGUAUAGAUUAAGUGUUGCAACACAAUCAAGGCACUAUAGAUCAAUGUAUAGAUCUAUAGAUCUAUAGUCUACCUUCAGUCCUCAUAAAGAUACUGAAAUACAUCUAUAACAAUCUGUUUGAAAGUGUUUAGGGUAAAAUCUUACCUUCUUUGGCCAGCUAAACAUUAUAAUUACAUUCUGAGUGUGAAACUCCAUGCUGAAGGAUAUUGUAGACAAUCGUUUCAGGAUUUUUAAAGAAAGUAGGCAACAGAAAUGAAUAGAUGGGUCAUUAAAGGCCAUUAAAACACUAGAUUGGGUGCAGGAAGUUUCUGGGUUGAAAAUUGCUCAAUUAUGGGAAAGUGAUCCUAGGGUAGUAUCUGUACUAGCUGGCAUGUUUUAAUGUACAUUCUACUUUAUAAGAAGCAUCGUACAUGGCUAUAUGAAUCUAUUUGUUUGACUAAAAGCAUUUGUGGUGAGACACAGUCAUCUUUUUCCACUAGAAUCAAUGGACAUUGGAAACACUUCCAUGUGAUGUUCUAGAUGCUAUCAUCAGAAAUAUACAUGAAGCUGAUUGAAAUAUUUUAUUUUUUAAGAAUCAAAAGGCUGUAAAGGUAGGCAAUAAGAACGUUCCUGUAUAUAGUGGAUAACAUAACAGAAUAGGAACUCAGUAGAAAGUUCUUCACUAAGUUUGUUUAGGUGCACCUUAGAUGAAUAUCUACAAGGAGUGAUUGCAGUAUGUAGAUGAUUACAUUCCUGCCUUUUUCUACGCAGCUGGAAAAAUUACACUGACGCUGUUAUUGGACAGUGUAUUUUAUAAGCCACUGUUCUGUGUUGUGCUCCAUCAAAUCUGUGCUCAGGAAAUUAUUUUUGACAGUAACAGGACUGUUCAAUCCCAGAGACAUAACUGUGAGAUGUGGGAUGUGCAGUUUUUAUUUAUAUUUAGUAUACCACAUUAAACACAAUGAACAAAAGAUCAUGGAAAACUGUCAAAACAAUAAAUCAUACUUGUUCCUGUUAAAACAAUUGCAUUGCUUUUUUAAAAUAGAUUAAUAAUCAAUUAAAAUAAGAAACGUAUUCUAUUUCUCAACUGGUAUGAUAUAUAGUCACUUAAAUUGAUUAUGCAGCUGUCAAACAAGUAAGAACAGGAUGUUGCAAUGCAGUGAUUAGGAGUAAGAUUCUGUUCCAGAUUCAGACAUGUAAAUUUAGGGAAUGAUAAAUUUGUCUAAGGGAGGCCUAGUCAACUCAGUCAGUGUUGUCUAGAGUGUUAUUCACAUAAGUAAAGUCAUUUGCUUUGGGAUGAUUUAAAUGUGCACUGAGCCUUCUGACUGUAGAUGAUCAGAGUAUUCAGUUGCAUGGGUACAUGUACCUACUGCCAUACCUGGACUUCAUCUGACACCGCUGAUGGUCAUGCCAGACUCAUGCAAAUAUCACAAAUAUCCUCACAUAACUCAAAUGGCGCAAAACACUCAUGCGUGAAGAACUAGGUAGAACUCCCAAUGUCUGUCAUAAGAACUUAGAUCUUUCAUUUGUAAACAUCUACAUUUAGUAUAGAAACUUGCCCUAUAUUAUUUCAAAAUUAAUAGACUUAAAAAACAGUAAUCUUUUCAGUUUUGCUUUCAAAAACAAAAUCACCAUCUUAACAUGGUUAUCAAGUUAUAUAUCAAUUAGAUAAAAGAUCAAAAACAAUAAUGCUUACAUAUCCACAUACUGUUCAGAUUGAGUAAAAUGGUUUCAGUGCAACAUUCUAUGUAUCUGAAUGUGGCAAAAAACAAACAAACAAACAAACAAA